ACGCUCGACACCUACGGGGAGGCAGCAGUCGGGAAUAUUGCGCAAUGGAGGAAACUCUGACGCAGUGACGCCGCGUGCAGGAAGAAGGUUUUCGGAUUGUAAACUGCUUUAGACAGGGAAGAAAGAAAUGACAGUACCUGUAGAAUAAGCUCCGGCUAACUACGUGCCACAGCCGCGGUAAUCUGAGGCGGGCUGGCAAGGC
rnacentral:rRNA from 1 species